UACCUACGGGGGCAGCAGUGGGGAAUAUUGCACAAUGGGGAAACCCUGAUGCAGCGACGCCGCGUGAAGGACGAAGUAUUUCGGUACGUAAACUUCUAUCAGCAGGGAAGAAAAUGACGGUACCUGACCAAGAAGCCCCGGCUAACUACGUGCCAGCAGCCGCGGUAAUACGUAGGGGGCAAGCGUUAUCCGGAUUUACUGGGUGUAAAGGGAGCGUAGACGGCAAUGCAAGUCUGGAGUGAAAGGCGGGGGCCCAACCCCCGGACUGCUCUGGAAACUGUAUAGCUGGAGUGCAGGAGAGGUAA
rnacentral:rRNA from 1 species